rnacentral:rRNA from 1 species
AACGCGAAGAACCUUACCUGGGCUUGAACUACUGGUAGUAAGUCUUUGGAAACAUGGACUGAUCCGCAAGGAAGCCAGCAGAGGUGCUGCAUGGUUGUCGUCAGCUCGUGUCGUGAGAUGUUGGGUUAAGUCCCGCAACGAGCGCAACCCCUAUUCGAUGUUGCUAAUCCCGCAAGGGAUGCACUCUUCGAAAACUGCCUUCGAUAAGAAGGAGGAAGGUGGGGACGACGUCAAAUCCUCAUGGCCCUUAUGUCCAGGGCAACACACGUGCUACAAUGGUCGGUACAACGGGAAGCAAUACCGCAAGGUGGAGCCAAACCCUUAAAGCCGGCCCCAGUUCAGAUCGUGGGCUGCAACUCGCCCACGUGAAGGCGGAAUCGCUAGUAAUCGCAGAUCAGCAGGCUGCGGUGAAUACGUUCCCGGGCCUUGUA